AGGACGAACGCUGGCGGCGUGCUUAACACAUGCAAGUCGAGCGGUAAGGCUCCUUCGGGAGUACACGAGCGGCGAACGGGUGAGUAACACGUGAGCAAUCUGCCCAUCACAUCGGGAUAACUUCGGGAAACCGAAGCUAAUACCGAAUACGACCACUUCAGGCAUCUGAUGGUGGUGGAAAUGUUCCGGCGGUGAUGGAUGAGCUCGCGGCCUAUCAGCUUGUUGGUGGGGUAAUGGCCUACCAAGGCUUCGACGGGUAGCCGGCCUGAGAGGGUGACCGGCCACACUGGGACUGAGACACGGCCCAGACUCCUACGGGAGGCAGCAGUGGGGAAUAUUGGACAAUGGGCGAAAGCCUGAUCCAGCAACGCCGCGUGAGGGAUGACGGCCUUCGGGUUGUAAACCUCUUUCAGCAGGGACGAAGCGCAGUGACGGUACCUGCAAAGAGCACCGGCCAACUACGUGCCAGCAGCCGC
rnacentral:rRNA from 1 species